ensembl:lncRNA
CUUGAAUGUUUUUUUUUAUUAUUAAGGCGGUAAUGUGAAGUGGAGGGAGAUCAAUAGCGCUCCGCGGGGCUGCGAGCUUCCUCCCUCUCGUUCCAACUCCCUUAUUUAGUCAGGAGAGAGGACACAGUCACGCGGUAGUCUCGUGUAAGCGUCCCCCAGUGAGCUCUUCCAGCCUGCCUUCCGUUGUGAAACGCUUUCUCUCUCUCUCUCUUUCUCUCUGAGACCUCUUGUUUAAAUAUUACACGCCAAUGUUUACAGAGACAUGCAUAGGAUAUGUACAUAUAUUUACCAAAUCUACUGGUAUAGAUGUCACAUUCAGCAGCAAACAUAAUAUUACAUCAUCUUUAAAUAUAUAUAUAUAUAUUUUACAGAAUAAUACAUUGAAACAGAAAUGUUUUAAUAAAAACCACUAGUGAUUUAUUAGAAAAGUAGCAAAACACUGUACAGUGUAAAGGAUCUGAGAGUUUCAGAAGGCACUCUAUGAUUGUUGAUACAGUGUAAAGGAUUUGAGAGUUUCAGAAGGCACUCUAUGAUAGUUGAUCCAGUCAUAUAAUGACUAUGGACCACAGGAAAUCAGGACACCUGGUCUGUCCACCCGUCUGUCUGUCUGUCCCUCUGCAUACACACACACUAGGCCUAUACACACACACUCAGCGUCUGGACAGAUCUCCCCCUGUGUAUGAAAAGAAUGCAAACACACCCAUGAAAUAAGAGGUAUUGAAGAUAAUUGCUUUGUAAUAACAAUGCCAAAUUAUCAUAUAUCGUGCUUCUACAUCUGCAUUGCUUGCUGUUUGGUGUUUUAGGCUGGGUUUCUGUAUAGCAUUUUGUGACAUCGGCAGAUGUAAAAAGGAGCAUAUACCCACGUGGGUGAUUGAAAGAUGGACUGAGGUCCACACUCCAGUCCAGUUGGUGGUGAUAAUGCACCUUAAAGUGUGUUGUCAAUCGCCAUAUAAAGUCCUAAGAAGAAGAAGAAGCCUGAGGGAGGAGAGAUUACCGGAAACAAACUCGGUUUACCGUUUUAUCUGUAGAUACAUUUCGGAGUAGAGGACCUUGUGUAUUUCAGGUAAAAUAACAACCCAAUGUUAAUAUCCCAGAACAAAUUACCUAGCAACAGCAAGCUAGCUGGCUAAAUUUCCAUAAAUGUUUAAUGCUUUUCGAUCUGUCCCCAAAUCAUUAUAGUUGGUUCAGAGUUCGUUUUGAUAUUUCAACCUACAUGUCCUGAUCGUGUCUGGUGUGGGUGGACAAAAUAAACAUGCGCGCGAUGCAGUGUGGUCAGCAUGUAAGGCACUGCAUCGCAGUGCUUGAGACUUCACUACAGAUCCGGGUUCGAUCCCGGGUUGUGUCGCAGCCGGCCGCAACAGGGAGACCCAUGAGGAGACACACAAUUGGCCCAGCAUCGUCCAGGUUAGGGGAGGGUUUGGCCGGCCGGGAUAUCCUUGUCCUAUCUAGCUCUUGCGACUACUAUGGCGGGCCUGGCGCAUGCACGCUGACACAGUGUUUCCUCCGACACAUUAGUGCGGCUGGCUUCCGGGUUCAGACAGCAGUGUGUCAAGAAGCGGUGUGGCUUGGCAGGGUCGGGUUUCGGAGGACGCAUGGCUCUUGACCUUCGCCUCUCCCGAGUCCGUACGGGAGUUGCAGCGAUGGAACAAGACUGUAACUACCAAUUGGAUACCAUGAAAUUGGGGAGAAAAAGGGGUAGGGUGAAAUGUAGUCUUCACUGAGAAUGUUUUAUAUACAUUAUUUUAUUACACAUGUUAAACAUGGAAUUGCCCAAUAAAAAAAUCUGUCAGCAGGCAAUGCCAUCCCAACUAUAUUAUUGAAGAAUCUGAGCGCUGUAAAUUGCCUUGUGAUAUAAAUAUCAAAUUAGCUAAUGCAAUCAGCCAGGUUGAUUAUGGAUUACUACAAUAUUUGGUUGUUGUAACUGGGGCCCUGAUUGAAUUAUGCAUGUUGGGAAACGUAAACAUACAGGGAACGUACGUUCAGCGUGGGGAUGCAGUCAUCAUGGCGUUUAAAGUGCAUUAACGGAGAAUGACAAAGAGCGGAAGAGACAGCGAGGGACAGUGGGACUGCAACUGGGUGUGAGUGACAGAGAGAGUGGCCAUGACGGUUGGGCGUGAUGGACUGAUAGACAGCAUGACUAACAGCAUGGGCGCUGGCAGGAAGUGGGUGGGUGGGAGAGAGUGUGUGUGUGGGGGGCUGUUUGUGUUUGUGUUUGUGUGAGUGUGUGUGUGUGUGUGUGUGUGUGUGUGUGUGUGUG